UGUAUAGACGGCGUCAUAUAUACAUAAUAAUACUAUGAUGCCCUUUCCAAUUAACCGGGUAACCUGCUACAAGAUAAAUAAAUAAAAAAAAAAAUUUAUUGCCCAAAGUGAAUCGUGUCUUCUCCUUCUCCCUUUCUUCAUCGGUUGUUUCAGGAAUUAUAAAGGACCCUGGUGCUUAUCUCCUCAUACGGCUCCCCUCUCACAGCAAUCAACCUUUCAUCUUCGUCGUCUUCCCUUUUAAUCAACUUCGGCUUUACGGGCGUCUGUGGUUCGGUUUUGCGCGACAGUUUCGGCGGAGAGGACUAACACCGCCGGCAUCUCCAACUUCACAGAGUAUCUGCUUUCUCAGAUCUUUCACAACGCUGUAUCAUUGUGCCAUAGAUUCUAUUAUUUCUCUGUAAGUUCUCUGUUUGUGCCAUAGAUUCUAUUAUUUCUAUGUUAGCUCUCCUAGUUGGAAUAGAUUCGGGCCUACUGUAUUCUAAGUUGAUAAAUCUAGCUUAUUGUUUCUGUUGCAUGCCCGAUCUGGUAAACUGAGGUAAAACAAUUGAUUUAGGGUUAAAAUUUUCUCACUACGAAGGGGGGAUAGUGAUUUUGGAAUGAAAAGUCUCUUUUGCGAUAAAACAAGUUUAGUUCUGUGUGAAAUGGAAUAUCUUAUGGAGCAUGUGCUAUUUGAAAUGGAAAAUUUAGUUUUACAGACUCGUUAUGUGUCAUUCCAUUCCUCUGCUAUUUCUGAAGAAUCAUAUCAGAAGUAAUAUACUAUUCGCUUUCCAUUCCAUCAGACCAACUGUUACAUUCCAUAUCUAUAAAUUAUAUAUUAUAUCAGAUGGUUCAAUUCUAGUUGCACAUGUUACUUCUUUACUUGCAUAGGCUAUUUGGAAUUGACACAACUAAACAUUUAACUUAAGCAUAAAGUAAUGCAUAUACUAGUAGCAUAUCUCAUAUGAUGUCAUUUCCUUCAAACUUAUAAACUAACAUGUGUCUUCAUUUUCAUUUUGUUCUUUAGAUUUGUCAUGGAUGAAUUGGAAGAGUGUUUAUAUGUGGUUUAUAUUAGUCUGUAUAUGAUUUUGUAAAGAGAAAUAAUAUAUUGAACGUAAAUAGAAUAAUAUUUAUCAUGACAUCAAAUAAAACAAAAUACAAUGUGAUGUUGAAUGGGAAUGAUACAUAAAUGAUGUUGUCUCUUCCACCUCUUUUUUCUAAUACCGUUAAUCUUCGUUUCUUUCCCCACAACAAUCUAAAUUUGGUGUAAGCAUUACCUCUAUCCCUACAAUCAUAGACACUUCAAAAUUUGAACAAUAUAUAUAUGUACUGUGCUAUAUCGUUUGUAACAUUUUAUAUUCUAUAGCUCAUGUAGUAUGGAAAUGCAUAUACUUGGGGGUUUAGUUUAUGAAAGAUUGGGUUUGACAUUGGAUUAGGGUUUAUAUUUCCAUAUAGGGUUUAGUGAUUAGUGGAUAGGGUUUAAUUUAUGGAACAUUGGAGUUGACAUUGGAUUAGGGUUUAUAUUUUUAUGUAGGAUUUAGUGAUAGUUGAUAGGGUUUUGUUUAUGUACGAUUAGAGUUGGCAUUGGGACAAACAUUACCACCUUCCAUGAAGGCAUGACCAUAUUAGCAUUUGAAAAAUAUGUUAAGAUGAUCUUUACAUUGGAAAUACAUUUUUGUCAUUUCUUUUCUAUAUGCCCUCAUGUAUAAUGGUAAUGCAUUUUACAGGCCUUUAAAAAUUUGGGUUUAGUUUAUAAAAAAAUGGGGUUAACAUUGGUUAAGCAUUUAGAAUGUGACGGAGUAUGUUUGGGGUCAGCAUUAACUUCUUUCAUGUAAUUAUAGAUAUAUCAUAAUAUUUUUGAUAUGUACUAUGUUAUUUAUUUUUUUCCAUUUUAUUUAGGUUUGGGUUUUAUAUUUGGAUUUAUGAUUUAUAUUUGGGUUUAAGAUUUAUUAAUUAGAGUUUAGGGUUUAGUAUUUAAGGGUUGAGGUGUAAUUGGGAAACUCGAUUUAUUAGAAUAAUAGCAAUGAAAAUUACUUGGUCGUUCCCUCAAAUUAGGUAAUCCUUGCUUUCUUGACCUUCUUGCUUUUGAAUUCCUUCAGAUGGACUUACAAUGGUAAUUAGAUGGAAUACAACACUUAUUGGUACACGUUCUAAUUUACACCACUUGUUUAACUCUGCACAGUAAAACAUCUCUAAUAACUCCGUCUAUUUACGUGGCUUCCUCCUAGUCUUUUAUAAGGAAUAGCUGCAAUCCAUUAGUGGUCAUUUACUGCAGAAAAUACAUCAUCAUCUCUGCACAACCGUAUACAUUAGCGUCUAUGUAAGUGGUUAUUUUAGGUCAUGUGCAUACACGUAUUCUACUUUAUGUAGUUCAUGUGGAAUGGAAAGAAGAUUCUUCACAUGUAUCUAAUUACGUUCAUAAUAUAUAUUACAUUCCAUCUGACUCAUGUCAAACGGAAAGUUUCGUCGUCUAAAUUGGACGGUUUUACUGAACUCGGCUUGACUUUAUGUAAACCAUUUCAUAUUUUACUUUCACCAUGCACCUUAUCACGGUUCUAAAAUUGAGAACACCAUCACUCCAUUGUAAAUGAACUUACAAUAAACCAUUCCACGUACGUGACGUAGUAUGGAAAGCAAUACAAUCGGAAUAGGAUUUAAGUCAUCAUCUUCAAAUCGCCGUUAUGUUAACAGAGACUCUAUCUCCCUCACAUCUGUUCGUCACUACUCUAGAUUUAUAUCCUCUUUCAUACGUGCUCAAGACAGCUGCGCACAAUGAUCCCUAUUACAUGUGAUUGUUACUGUGGCAGACAAACCCUCCACGUCGUUUACUUUAUAACAACGAACCGACAACUUGUUAUGGUGAGGGGUAUAACCGGAUGGAAUCAAGCCAAAAAGUCUGACAAUGAAUUACGUCAAAAUCAUUGUUACUCUCUUCAUUUGUCUUUGAAAUAUGGCUAUCAGACCAAUAAGCCCUAUUUAAAAACGCCAUAAUUUAUUUUACUAUUUCUUGAAUAUACUGUUUGUACAAGAAAGGAAGAUAAAUGUUUUUUAUGUAUUAUAUUAUACUCCUUCCGUUUCAUAUUAGUUGUAGUUUUAAAGUUGAAAUUUUAUUUUAUUUAAAGUGUCAUUCUAUAUUUUCAAUGCAAAAUUUAUCAACAAUAUUUUCUAUUUUAUUUUUCUAUUAGUUGGAAUAUAGUUAAAUAUAUAAGUAAUGAUGUUUUUCUUUUGAAAUAUGCAAAAUUAAAUAUUUUUUUAGUCAGUAUGCAUCACUCUAAAACGAUAAAUAAAAUGAAAUAUCAAAAUUUUAAAAUAAAAAAAACAUUUAGAGUUGUUAAUGGAAUCUCAAUUACAACCUUACAAAUGGUAGUUCGUUUUUUGGUUUAUAGAUACCCCCUCCAUUUAAGUUUAUUGAUGUAUACUAAAAUUUUCGUUUCAAAAUAAAUAUCAUUUUAUAAUUUAAAUUAAUAAUUUAUUGAUUUUUAUUUCAGUUUUUUCUUUUAUUGGUUAAAAUAUAUUAAAUAUAUUAAUAAUGAUGUUUUUAUUUUAGAAAUAUAUAAAAUUAAAUGUUUUAUUAAUUUAUGUGCUUAAUUCUAAAAUGAUAAUUAAAACUAAACAGAUAGAGUAGUACAUAGUUAUGUUUUGCUUUCUUUGUGGAACAUUUAUGUUAUGUUUUUGUUUUUGCAUGCAAAUUAUUACAAAACGACUUUGUCGUUUUGUUAACGGCCUGAUUUCACAAUUACAUAAUUAUAUCAAAUUAUAUUCACUAAUUUCACAAUUAAUUCAUUAAUAAUACGUACUAGUUAUGUUUAUAAUAAAAAUAAAGCACUUUAAUUUUUUUGUACCGUACAAAAAUACUUCAAUUAUCUCACUUCUUUUCAGUGUGGACCCCUUUUAUCUAUGUUAAUACUUAAUACUCGUCGUUUAAUCUGACACAAGCGACACGACCAAUGCGAUUCUUAAAUUUUCCUUUGCUAUGUAAAAUCUAACACGUACAUUAAGUAGAGAAGCUUUUAAGUUUUUAUGAAAACCACUCCAUGUCAAAUCCAACGAAGUAAAAGGAAUCAAGAAAUAUUUAUUAUUAAAUGAAAAUAAAGAGCAACAGGUCUCCAAAGAAAAACAACAAUGCGGUUCGAUUUUGUGAUUAUUUCAUAUUUUAUGAAUUAUUGUUUUUACCUUUAAAUAUGUUUUGUUUGUCUUUAAAGAACAUGGCAACAAUCCGUACGGUCUAGCGCUUCAGAGCCACAUAGGCCCAUUAUAAUUCAGACCAAGCUGGCCUCCACAACCAUCACUCGGGUCCUGACUCGGAUUCUCACUCAGUUCCUGUCUCGUGGGGCCCAAAACUCAACCGGAACCAGACUCAUUUUCUUUUCAUUCAAGAAAUGAGAUUAAGACGGAACAUAUGAUCAAGUUUUGAUCCAUAUCCAGAAGAAUUAUUAAAGUGUGCUAUGAUAAAAGCUUGAGAUCAGUUCUUUUAUACAACUAACCUGUGAAUCAGUGAAUGUUUUAUCAUAAAUGUAGUCUUCUAAUUACCUAACUAACUGUUUUAUUAAUUUAUGUGCUUAAUUCUAAAAUGAUAAUUAAAACUAAACAGAUAGAGUAGUACAUAGUUAUGUUUUGCUUUCUUUGUGGAACAUUUAUGUUAUGUUUUUGUUUUUGCAUGCAAAUUAUUACAAAACGACUUUGUCGUUUUGUUAACGGCCUGAUUUCACAAUUACAUAAUUAUAUCAAAUUAUAUUCACUAAUUUCACAAUUAAUUCAUUAAUAAUACGUACUAGUUAUGUUUAUAAUAAAAAUAAAGCACUUUAAUUUUUUUGUACCGUACAAAAAUACUUCAAUUAUCUCACUUCUUUUCAGUGUGGACCCCUUUUAUCUAUGUUAAUACUUAAUACUCGUCGUUUAAUCUGACACAAGCGACACGACCAAUGCGAUUCUUAAAUUUUCCUUUGCUAUGUAAAAUCUAACACGUACAUUAAGUAGAGAAGCUUUUAAGUUUUUAUGAAAACCACUCCAUGUCAAAUCCAACGAAGUAAAAGGAAUCAAGAAAUAUUUAUUAUUAAAUGAAAAUAAAGAGCAACAGGUCUCCAAAGAAAAACAACAAUGCGGUUCGAUUUUGUGAUUAUUUCAUAUUUUAUGAAUUAUUGUUUUUACCUUUAAAUAUGUUUUGUUUGUCUUUAAAGAACAUGGCAACAAUCCGUACGGUCUAGCGCUUCAGAGCCACAUAGGCCCAUUAUAAUUCAGACCAAGCUGGCCUCCACAACCAUCACUCGGGUCCUGACUCGGAUUCUCACUCAGUUCCUGUCUCGUGGGGCCCAAAACUCAACCGGAACCAGACUCAUUUUCUUUUCAUUCAAGAAAUGAGAUUAAGACGGAACAUAUGAUCAAGUUUUGAUCCAUAUCCAGAAGAAUUAUUAAAGUGUGCUAUGAUAAAAGCUUGAGAUCAGUUCUUUUAUACAACUAACCUGUGAAUCAGUGAAUGUUUUAUCAUAAAUGUAGUCUUCUAAUUACCUAACUAACCUGUGAAUCAGUGAAUGUUACACGAGGUUUGACGGUGAUACGAUUAGUCUCAUUCUCGUCGUUGGUAAUUGUUGCCGAUCAUUUACCACAAGUCCAUAACAAAACGGACAAGAGCGAUCUAUUCAUAAUUAAUUACUCUUAAGUUUGUAAGUUAUCACAUCUCGGUCAGUUUAUCUGAGAUGAUUCCAAUAGUAGUUUUUCAAAGGUGGAUUAAAGAGAGAACACAAAAAUCUUGUGAUUUUUUUUUUGGUCAAAAAAUCUUGUGAUUUUAUAAAAAAAAAGUUUUAUUUUAAUUUACUUUCUUUGUUGGCCCUUAAAAAGAUGUCUUCCUAUUUUCUUUAAUACCUCAUUAAUAGCAACUUUGGAAUGUGAUUCACUUUAAAUUCACAGCUUGUGUGGGGGAACACAGAAAGGAAUCUUGGGCGAAGAACCAAAUUAUAACCCUUUGGAACCAUGUGAAAACUGUCUUUUAUCAUCGUUUAUGCUCGAAUCAUAUCUAUUGUGCACGUAAACUCACAUAUGGUAAAUGGAAAGUAAGGGAAGCAUAAAUGACUUUUAAAAAACAAAAAUAUUCUAAAAGCUAAUCAAAAGUAAGCAUUUUCUGCCUUCAGUUAACAAUGUCUUAUCCAGCGUGGCCAUGGCGCUUUAAGCGUCUAAGGCUUUUGCGGCUCUUGGUUUCGUUUAUGUUGUAAACUGGGAUCUGCGGGUAGACCAACAUGAGUAGACUCAAGCUUGUGUUAAGUAGCUCGUGAAGACAGCAUUUGGGUGUGUGAUAUUAUCCUAUUUAUAAGACCAAAUCAAAAGCCAACAAAGUUGGAUAUGUCUAAAAGUUUGACCAUUACUCAAAAACACGCUCUUAUUAGAAUCGAAGACCUAUUCAAGCUAAUAACAGAUCAAUCAGAUGAACUUUUAGUUUCCGUUCGUUAUUGAAAAACACCCAACAUAAUCGUUUGUCUUCCCCCAAAAACACAGACAAACUUCAAAA